GCCAGUGUGGUGUAAUGGUUUGAGCACUGGACUAUAACUCUGGAGACCAGGGUUUGAAUCCCUGCUCAGUCA